CAAAAAACUCCACCUGACCCUUGAGACGAUCCACCUGGCCUCCAGCAAUAGCCGCCACCACCACCACCCCAGAUUGGGCGCCGCCUAAACGACCACCUGAGCACAUCAUCACCAUAAGGAAGUACAUCAGGAUACACAGUAACAGAACCACACAACUCUACAAGCGGCGUCCAUCAAGGCUACCACGCCCCCAUAAAGCUGCCGGCAAUGUGUUCGUAUCUACACGCCUUAUACUGGAAGCUGCCCAGCCACAACCACCUCGCCGCCUGGAUGAAAUAAUUCCUCCGAUUCCAUCAAAAGCAAUGCAUAAUUGAAGGCGGGGCGAGCCAUGAAGGGUCGCGGUCAUGAGGCUGAGCGUGGCUGCCAACCGUAUGAGUAAUGCACACCAGCCUUUGACACUCCCUCGCUCUGUUUGCUUUCCAGAAUAUCAUAACUACCGCAGGAAAAUACUUUUAGAUCAACAUUCAUUUCAUAUUUGCAACUCUGAGUUUUGUAUAUGUAUUUAUGAAUGUGUGUGUGUGUGUGUGUGUGUGUGUGUGUGUGUGUGUGUGUGUGUGUGUGUGUGUGUGUGUGUGUGUGUGUGUUUAUUUCCAUCGCCAGCAGGAAAUUAUAAAACACGAUGAAAUUUCCGUGAAAACAAAUUUGUUUUAGUGGCACACUUUGGUUUACCAUUUGUGAAGGGGGAUUACUUAAUUGUUUUUCCUCCCUGCACCAAACUAUUACUGUUCCUGAAAUGACGCUCAGGUAAUGCCGCGGCACUUACAAUUAAAAAAUUUAUUUCAUGGUGAAAAAACAUUGUUGUGACAUCUCUUUGAGAGAGAAAGAGA